rnacentral:rRNA from 1 species
CGGAACGGGUAGGAGUAAUGCAGUCGGAACGUACCUUCAGUGGGGAUAACGUAGCGAAAGUUACGCUAAUACCGCAUAUUCUGUGAGCAGGAAAGCAGGGGAUCGCAAGACCUUGCGCUGAUUGAGCGGCCGAUGUCAGAUUAGCUAGUUGGUGAGGUAAAGGCUCACCAAGGCGACGAUCUGUAGCGGGUCUGAGAGGAUGAUCCGCCACACUGGAACUGAGACACGGUCCAGACUCCUACGGGAGGCAGCAGUGGGGAAUUUUGGACAAUGGGGCAACCCUGAUCCAGCCAUGCCGCGUGAGUGAAGAAGGCCUUCGGGUUGUAAAGCUCUUUCGGCCGGGAAGAAAUCGUAUGGGCUAAUACCCUGUGCGGAUGACGGUACCGGCAUAAGAAGCACCGGCUAACUACGUG